rnacentral:rRNA from 1 species
AAAUUGAAGAGUUUGAUCAUGGCUCAGAUUGAACGCUGGCGGCAGGCCUAACACAUGCAAGUCGAACGGUAACAGAAAGCAGCUUGCUGCUUUGCUGACGAGUGGCGGAC